rnacentral:lncRNA from 1 species
GGCCAACUGGCUGCAGAGGAAGAAUAUCUUCAGGCCAGGUCUUAGUUACAUCAAGUGGAUCAAAGUCAAAUCUGUCCUCAUGAUUGGGAUCAAUUGUCUGAAUAUAAAGUUUCCACUCAGGGUAGUUGCCAGCUGCAAUGGAAUCAUAGAGAUCCUUGGUAGCAUGGCUGUGAUUAGCUCCUCCAACCUUAAUAGCUUCAUCCUCCAACAAACACUUGACUCCACACGUAGGUUUCCAAUGAAAUUUCACAUACUGUACUUUCCCCGCCUUAUUGAUAAGGGUAUAGGUGUUAACACCAGAGCCUUCCAUGUGCCUGUAAUCUUGUGGAACUCCCAGAUCAUCAAAUAGGAAGGUGAACAUGUGCAGGCUUUCUGGGUGGUGGGAGAAGAAGUCAAGGAUCCUCCAAGGCUCUUGAAUGUGCGACUUGGGGUUCGGUUUGAGAGCAUGGACCAUGUCCGGGAAUUUCAUUCCGUCACGAACAAAAAAGACAGGGAAAUUGUUUCCAACCAGGUCAAAAUUACCCUGUGUUUAAGAACAAAGUCGCCACAUGAGUACUAACAACACAGCAAAAUAAACCUGAAUAAAGUUGUAUAUAGUGAAUAAUAAUGUUACCAAGAAAUCAACCAUCUGUAUAAGCAUCUAGAUUACAGAUGGUAUGCUACAUGAGCAAUCUUUUACAGCCAGGUGACUACCCCCAUUAGUAAACGAAAAUGAAAAGGCAAAGAAAAGAAAGGAAUGAAUGCAAUCUUUCAUCAAAGUCACAAGACUGCAUAAUUUCCAACAACUAUAAUUAGUCAAAUAUGAAUUGAGUACUUCAUAUUUUGUCACCACAGCCACCUCAGCUGCCACUACAGACACCAAUACAUAUCCACUAAAUAUGCCUAUGCUAUUGAAAAUAAAAAUAAAAUUAACACAUUGAUAAUAUAAAGGUAAAAACCUCACCUCUCUGGUGUAAAACUUCACUGCAAAACCACGAGGAUCCCUCAGGGUUUCAGGGCUGCCACGCUCAUGGAUAACAGUGGAGAAACGCACAAUGACAGGUGUCUGAACACCGGGGGCUCGAAGGAAGUCAGCACAUGUAAGCUGAGAAAUAUCAUGAGUGACCUCGAAGAAUCCCUUCGCACUGGCUCCCCUAGCAUGGACAACACGCUCUGGGAUUCGUUCUCUAUCAAAGUUGGCAAGUUUCUCCACCAGAUGAUAGUCCUCAAGGAGAAUUGGGCCUGACAAAUAGACACAGAAAUUUAAUUCGGAACUGCACCGACUCAACUCACCAUAUUUAAGCAUCUAGAUUACAUGCAAAUAUAGGAUAAAAAUGAAAUUAGUUGUUAUACAUUCCAGAACAUCAAAUAAAGAUGAUUGCUGCUCAGUUGCAAAUAUUCGUAAUUUUUAUUUACAUUUAGAAGGUAGGUUUUCAGACAACCAGAUGAUCAAAAAACCCAUCUUGACAAACCAAAAGGAGGCUGGAGGAAUUAAAAGAGAACCAACAGUGCGGGAGAAUCAUUUUUCAACUAAAGUAAGCAUAAAAUUUUAAAAUAAAUGUCAAUAGGAAAAGGAUCAGCUUCAAAUACAAGAUAUAUAAGUAUAUAUACAUAUCUUAAAUCCCACAAGCGUUUCCAAAGAUUAAUCAUCCUCAACAUGGUAGUGGUGGGAAUAACAUCCAAAAAGCAGUUUACAGCUCAUAAUCACAUGAAUAUCAAAAUCUUGUUCAGAAAAGUUGAGAAAACCAUCACAAAAAUUCAAAACCCAGGUAAGCGAAGAACCAAUGAUAACAAAGAUGAAUAUAUACACACAAAUAGUGAAUAGCAUCAUAAGAUAGAUUGAACAUGAAGCGCAACUAAAAAAACAAUAAAAUAUAAAAUAUAAACUGUGUUGCAAUUGAAAAGCCAGCAUCAAUCAACGAAGAGUUGUGAUGAAUUACCUCUAGAUCCAACAGUCAAAGAAGAGUUGUUGUUCCAAACAGGAGCACCGGAGUUUGUGGUCCAGAAUGGGGAAUCAAAAGCACUUGAAGGGCGGUACUGCAACAUACACAACGAAAACGAAACAAGACCAUGAUGAGCUAAAAGAACAACAAACACAAAAUUUCGAGCUACGCUUAAAUGACCAAUCUGAUUGAUCAAGAAGAUUAAUUCAUCAAGAAAUCAAACUUAAACAAAUCAAGAGAUAUUAUAACAGGGAAAUGAGUACCUUGUAAGGAUCCAUGGAGAAAGAGGGGGAAGGAGGAGUUUGAUAAGAAGGUGAGAGAGCAGAGCAAAGCCACCCAAAGGGAGGGUCGUGUGGCAAAUGAGAAUCGAAGAGCGAAAUGUGAAAUUGGGGAAUUUAUAAACACUUGCGGGUCGUGGGCGUGGCUCGCGCUUCUGCGCAAAUUACCAAUCUCAGCAGGUUAUCUUUAUCCACACACAGAGUGGGAGGUCAAGAGAAGAGAAGACAUAUCUUUGCCAAUUUAGCGUCGCGAGUCAGAACGAUUCUCGCCAAACCUGUCAACGAAGCAUUCUUGUAUGCACAAUUGUGGCAAAACGUCCUUCACUCACUUCAAAUCUUUUACAACCAAUUUUAUGAGGAGGGAUUUUUUUACAAAAAAAAUAAAAAAUUAUACAAUUUUAUGAGGAGAUGGUAUGCAACAAAAAAACAGAGGGGAUUCAGAUUUUUUUUUUUUAAUGGAAAUUAUUGUCCAAAAACAAAAGAAACAUUGAAGAAAUUGAGAGUUCAAUUUAAAAGUAAAAGAGAUCAUUAAAAUGAGUAAAAGAGACUAGAAACACCAUAAUUGACUGUGUAAUUAUAAAAUAUAUGGAGUCGUUUUUUUAUUUUUCAAAUUUUGUGAACAUAUUAUCCCUAAAUAAUGAACACAAAAAUUGAUUUAAAUAUAAUGUUGGUGUUGAUUGCAAUUAAUAAUAGCUAACUAUAGAGAUUUGAUUGAAACAAUUAAAACAUUUCACCACGACAACAAGGUCAAGAAUGCAAGUUGUUUAUUAUUAUGAAUUGGUUUCAAGACGAACAAUUUAACAACAAAUUCCAAACCUCUAUAUUUAGGAUUCAUGCAUUUAUCUACAUUUUAUGAAACUAAGUUGCUCAAAUAAUCUAACCAUUUAACAUGACACAUCAUCAAUUUUUAACCUAAGAUUUUUUUAAAAAAAAAUUGAAGUUAAUUUUAAAGUUAACGUGCUUGAGGGGUUUUUUUUUUCAUCAUGCUUCCUCCUUGAGAAAACUGUGAAUAAAAUUAAUUAAUUGCUACUUAUCUUCAGCUUAUAUAUUGAACCCUAAAGCAUAAAGCGAACUUCAAAACUUUAAUUUUUUGGCCACACAAACUUGAGCAAAGUAUGUCUUAUCUUUUUCACAAGAUUAUUCACUCUCAUUCUAAAUUCAUCGUGAUAUGUUAAGAAAUAACAAGUUUCACGAUGAACUAAAAAAGAACUCUCAAGCACGUUAACAUUAACGUUAGCAUAAGUUUUUGGAAAGAACGAAAAAGACCUUAAUUUAAAGAUUGAUGAUAUGUCAUAUGAAUGGUUAAAUUAUUUAGUUUAAAUUUUACGAAAUAUAAAUAAAUACACGGAUUCUAAAUAUAGAAAUUUGAUAUUCAUUUGCCAUAAAUAUCACUUUAAGAGUGAAAAUCCAGAAUACUAAACUAAAAUUAUAUUUCUUCACAAAAAUUGCAUCUAAAGAUGAGGAUAAAUUGAUGUUCAUCCGGACAUUGAAAAAGCACAAUAUAUCGUGAAGAUAUUCGAUAUAUUGAAAACCUCGCCGAUAUUCAUGUAGGAAGGCUAAACGAUUUUUUUAUGGCAAAAACUUCAACAACAACAACAAAAAAAGAGGCCUGGAAAAUUAUUAUUAUCAUAAUCGUGGUGGGAAUUCAAAAUUGAAAAUAAUUGAGAACGUCAUGCAUUCAUCGUUCGUUAUCCAGGUCUUGGAGCUUUGCUAACACCUAGGCGCAACCACUUAAGGCAGUGGCGGGUAUGGGUGACGUGGUCCACUCACAAGACGCCACGACCACCAAAGUGUACCUUGAAACGCGUGCUCUUAGAAAAUAGCACAGAGAUUCUCUCUCUCAGGGGAUAUGCUUGAAAUUUAUGAACAAAACAGAAGGAAAAAUAAAAACAAACAAGAGGCUAUUUUUGGUGUUGUCUGUGUGAAAGCCGCCAAAACAGCAAAUAUGCUGAUAAGGUUAGAAUGGGCCGAGCUCAGAUUAGCCACAAAGACUGUUCCUCUCUGGGCCCACUUAUCAAUAUUUUAACAUUUUUUUUAAUGGAGCUCGACAAUGAACAAAUUUUGAAGGUAAUUACUUGAUGUUAGUUAGAGAACCUCUAUGUCUAAGGGAACUACGAGUUCAAGGAAGCUUUGAGGUAUGCUCAUGUGACCCUACUUCUUGUUCUUUAUGCAUAAACAUAUUCAAGUUGCAUGUUCAAGGCUUGCCAUCUAAUCAUUAUAUAAUAUUUUGAUCAUCUAUUAUAAAAAUAUAAAAAAAACUAUGUAACUGGGCCUUGGUGCAAUAAGAACUUAAGCAUUAGCUUCAUGUAUGUAGGAAAAGUAGCAAAUAAUUUCAAUUGUAAAAUGAAUGCUUUGGUUUCUUUUCUUGUUAAUGCCGUUUGACUGGUUGUUUUGUCUUAGUGGUUCUUUGACCUCUCUUUGGUCUUUUUAUUGAAAGUUAUGUUGAGAAACUGAAAUUAACUUAAACGUAAAAGGAUUUUUUGAGUAAACAUAUUUCACAGCAUAAGAAUACUGCAGUUUUCCUCUCUUAUAUAUAUCUGAAAAACAAAGCUUACAAAAUAACAAUCUCCACAAUAACCACUAACACACAAGUGCAGAUUUUGUGGAGUUCAACUACCUUAAGCAACGGAAGCAAAUUUGAACGUGGUGAACAGACUAAACCACAACUUCUACAUUCUAGGACUUCAGCUUGACUUGGUCUCUACAUGGCCAUGUCAGCAUUAUUUAAUUAAAAAACUAAUUAAACUUAACUAAAUAACUUUUAACACCCUCCCUUAAACUGAUUUUUACGAAAAACAGUUUAGGAUCUCUACACCAUCACAUAAUCAUCUUCCUGUUCAAUGCUUUGAAAUGAACAAACUCCCAACAUGCUUCUCAGCUUCUCAAGCGCAGGUACCAUCACAUAAUCAUCUUCCUGUUCAAUGCUUUGAAAUGAACAAACUCCCAACAUGCUUCUCAGCUUCUCAAACGCAGGUUGCUUCAAAGGCUUAGUUAAGAUGUCUGCAACCUGCUCCCCACUCUUGCAAUAUUCAAGUACAAUCUUCCCAUCACUGCACAGGUCACGCAAAAAAUGAAAACGUACAUCAAUGUGUUUACUUCUCCCAUGCAUGACUGGAUUCCUCGAUAGCUUUAUAGUUGACAUGUUGUCGCAGUAGAUGGUUGUUGGUCCCUUUUGAACAUCACCAAGCACUUCAAAUAUUUUCCUAAGCGACAUAGCUUGACAGGAGCUUGCAGCUGCUGCUACAUAUUCAGCUUCUGUUGAGGAAAGUGUCACAAUUUGUUGCUUCUUUGAGGACCACGAUAUUGCACCAGAGUUGAGCAGAAAUGUGUGACCGGAAGUGCUCUUACGAUCAUCUAUAUCACCUGCAUAGUCACUAUCUGUGUACCCAACAAAACCAGAACCAUCUUCCCUUUUAUAAAACACACCAUAAUCAAUUGUCCCCUUUACAUACCUGAGAAUUCUCUUUGCUGCAUUGAGAUGCAUUUCAGUUGGUUUUUCCAUAUAUCGGCUCACAAGACUCACUGCAUACAUGAUGUCAGGCCUCGUGUAUGUUAAAUACAUGAGACUCCCAAUUAUCUGUUUAUAGAAAGUGCUGUCAACCUCCUUUCCACCUUUGUCUUUGCAUAGCUUUAAGCCAUGUUCAGCUGGAGUUCCAAAUGGCUUGCAGUCAUCCAUCUGAAACCUGUUAAGAAUGUCCUGUGCAUAUUUUUUCUGGUAGAUGAAAUUACCAGCAGUAGUUUGAAUGACUUCCAAUCCAAGAAAAUAGUGCAUUAAUCCUAGAUCAGUCAUUUCAAACUCCAUCAUCAUAGACUUCUUGAAUUCAUCAAACAUUUUAGCAUCACUUCCAGUGAAUAUCAAGUCAUCAACAUACAAGCAUACCAUGAGUAUUUUACCUUCUUCCUCAGUCUUGACAUAAAGUGUGUGCUCAAAAGGACAUUUGUGAAAUCCAAGCUUAGCAAAGUGAGCAUCUAUGCGACUGUACCAAGCUCGAGGUGCUUGUUUCAGUCCAUAGAGUGUUUUCUUCAGUUUGAACACCUUCUCUUCUUCUCCUUUUCUCUCAUAACCAGGUGGUUGAUCAAUGUACACCUCCUCUUGCAGGUUUCCAUGCAGGAAUGCUGACUUCACGUCUAACUGAAAAAUUUGCCAGGAAUUUUGAGCUGCAAGAGAGAUCACUAACCUAAUCGUGUCGUGCCUCGCAACUGGGGCAAACACCUCUUUGUAAUCAAUGCCAUGCUUCUGCUUGUAGCCCUUAGCUACCAAACGAGCUUUGUGCUUGUCAACCUCACCUUUUUCGUUCAACUUUGUUCUAAACACCCAUUUAACACCAAUGGUUUGCUUUCCCUUUGGAAGAUCAGUUAACUCCCAGGUUUGAUUCUUCUCAAUGGACUUGAUUUCAUUGUCCAUUGCUUCCCUCCAUUUCUCCUCUUUAACAGCCUCAGUAUAUGUGAUUGGAUCACUAUCUACAAGUAAUGCAAAGUGAGCAUUUUCAUCAUCAGAACUUGAAUAACUUACAUCGUAGUCCAUCAUCCAUGCUGGCCUCUUCCUUGAGUUCUCAUCUCUCAAAUUGUAUCUCUCUUCUUCAAACUGUUGAGAUGACUGAACUUCAAGUUGAGGUGGCUGCUGGGCUUGAGUUUCAGGAGCUGCUACCUCUUCAUUGUCUAAAUCAUCAUAAACUGGAAUUUGUUGUUGAACCGAUCUGUUCUCAGACCAAUUCCACAUAGUGUCUUCAUCAAAUAUCACAUCCCUGCUUACCACUAUCUUCUUUGUAACUGGAUUGUACAGUUUGUAUGCUUUUGAGACUUCACUUACACCAAGAAAAACACAUUUUUCACUUUUGUCAUCCAACUUCUUUCUUUUCUCAUCGGGGAUGUGUGCAUAUGCUAUGCACCCAAACACCCUAAAGUGAUCAACCGCAGGCUUCAAUCCACUCCAAGCUUCUUGAGGAGUCAUAUUCUUAACAGAAAAUGUGGGACUUCUGUUUAAAAUAUGAACUGACCAUAGCACAGCUUCAGGCCAAAACUUCUUGGGAAUUCUUCCUUUGACUAGCAGACUUCGAACCAUGUUGAGAAUGGUGCGAUUUUUCCUCUCACUUACACCAUUUUGUUGUGGUGUAUAGGCAGUGGUCAACUGUCUCUUGAUGCCUUUCUCUUUGCAAAAUGCAUCAAAUUCCUUCGAACAGUACUCUCCCCCACGGUCAGUUCUUAGAGUUUUAAUCUUCUUUUCUGAUUCAUUUUCAACUAGAGCUUUGAAGCUUUUGAAUGCUUCAAAUGCCUCUGAUUUUUCCUGCAAGAAAUAUACCCAUGUCUUUCUACUAAAAUCAUCAGUAAAGGAGAUGAAAUAUUUCUUGUUACCAUUUGAGAUGGGAUUUAUUGGUCCACAUAGAUCAGAGUGAACCAUCUCCAGGAUUUAUUGAGCCCUUGCUGCCUUGCCACUUGGAAAAGAGUCUCUUUUGUGCUUCCCAGUGAUGCAUUCUUCACACAUCUUUGAUGGAGGAGUUAUAUCAGGUAAGCCAGUGACCAUCCCUUUCUGGUGAAGUGUUCUCAAGCCAUUAAAAUUCAAAUGGCCAUAUCUGUAGUGCCAUCUCCACGGGUCAUCUUCUUUGGCAAAUAAGCAAGCCUGCAGAGUCUUGAUUUUCAAAGGAAACAAUCUGUUGGAAGACAUUUUCACAACAGCAAUGGACCCUCUUUUUGGGUCGUACACUUCCCACUCUCCUUUAUAGAUUGUAAUCCUAUAGCCUUUAUCUUGUAACUGACCAGCACUCAGCAAAUUUGUCUUCAAAUCAGGAAUAUAAAAAACAUUUGAGAUAGUUUCAAUAAAGUCAUUUUUAGUUUUGAUUUGAAUAUCUCCCUUACCCAUCACUUUCACUGUUGACUUGUCACCAAAACUCACUACCGUGUGAAAGCUUUCAUCCAAAUUAAUAAAGGAAGACUUACAUCCACUCAUGUGAUUGCUGCAGCCUGUGUCCACAUACCAUGUCUCCUGAUCAGUUUUUGUCAGUGCAUGAAAAGCCAUCAAAAGUGUCUCUUCCUCCUUCUUUUUCUCCACAAAAUUUGACUUUUCUCCUUUUUCUUUUGGUAACUUCGUGUAGCACUCAUUCUUGUAGUGCCCAAAAUUUCCACAUCUAUAACACUCCACUUUUGACUUAUCAAAGUGGUACGUUCCUUUUUCUUCAAAGUCAUCAUCUCUUUUGAAAACAUGAGAUGACUUGCUGUCAUCUCUAUGUCCAGACCGUCCACCUCCUCGAUGACCUCGACCACCUCUUCCUCUAUCACGUCCACCUCUUCCACGACCUCUUCCUCCUCGAGAACUUGAGGACUCAGAAACAAUGGAAGCUUUCAGAGCUGUUUGUUCUUCACUGGCAGUGGUGCGGUUAAGUCUUUGUUCAUGCACUAACAAAGAGCUUUGUAGUUCAUCAACUCGUAACUCAGCAACGUUCUUUGCCUCUUCAAUUGAACAGACAAUGUAGUCAAAUUUUGGAGUCAAUGAUCUCAUAAUUUUCUCCACAACUUUGACUUCUUCCAUGGUGCCACCAUUGGAUCUCAUCUUGCUUGCUAUUCCCAGAGUUCUAGCAAAGAAAUCAGUGAUGGACUCUCCUGAUUUCAUUUGUAAAGUUUCGAAGUCCCUUGUUAGAGUUUGAAGCACUGCACGCUUCACCCUCUCUGACCCUGCAUAUUUCUUCUUCAAAGAAUCCCAUAUUUGUUUGGAGGUCUCCUUCUCGAGUAUCGUCUCCAAGAUAGAUCGAUCAAGUGCCUGAAAAAGGUAAUUUUUCACCCUCAAGUCCUUCAGCUUCUGUUCAGCAACCCUCUUUUGUUGUUGUUCAGUCAACACAACUCCCUCUGCUGGGGCGUCAAUUCCUGAUUCCACAAGAUUCCAAUACUCCUUUGACCUGAGAAAAUUUUCCAUCAGCAUGCUCCAAUGGUCGUAGUGACCAUCAAAUCGUGGAAUCGCUGGUUGAAUAAAACUCUCAGUGGCUUUCUCUGUUGCCAUUGUUUCUUGCUGCUGCAAGACACAAUCUUUCACCUUUUUUUCAAGUUUGUUCAGGCCCAGAAGAGCUCUGAUACCAGAUGUUGAGAAACUGAAAUUAACUUAAACGUAAAAGGAUUCUUUGAGUAAACAUAUUUCACAGCAUAAGAAUACUGCAGUUUUCCUCUCUUAUAUACAUCUGAAAAACAAAGCUUACAAAAUAACAAUCUCCACAAUAACCACUAACACACAAGUGCAGAUUUUGUGGAGUUCAACUACCUUAAGCAACGGAAGCAAAUUUGAACGUGGUGAACAGACUAAACCACAACUUCUACAUUCUAGGACUUCAGCUUGACUUGGUCUCUACAUGGCCAUGUCAGCAUUAUUUAAUUAAAAAACUAAUUAAACUUAACUAAAUAACUUUUAACAAGUUAAUCAAAUAAAAUAAAAAUAAAACAACAAUUAGAAGGGUUGCAAUUAGAUAGGCUUGCUAGGCUCCAAGAGGUGCAAGACUGUCUUUUGAUUAAAGUUCAAGCUCCCAAGUCCAAAUUUGGGGCACCAACUAGCCUAUCUCAUUGCAGGCGCUUAACACUUGAAGGGACUGGCGCAAUGAUUUACUAGUAAAAUUUGUAAUAGCUUAAGACUUCGCUAGUAUCAUUUAGUAGUUACAAAUCACUUUACUUCGCCAGUAGUGAGUCCCAAUAUCGGCUGAAUUGCUCUUUCGCCAGUAUUAGUCUGUCGGUAUAAGCUAAAAUUGUAGUAGUGUAAGCUAAUUCUUGAUUUACUGUAAUUAUUCCCUUAUCGGUUAAAACUUCAAAUCAUCAAAGAAAAUCAAAGCACUCUCUAAGAAUUUCACCCUUUAAGAGUGCAUUGAGGCAAACCUAAAAAAAUUCUUCUUCAUCAUCAUCUUGUCACGCUUCCUGAAUCCACCAUAGGAGAUUUUAGUUUGGCCCUCUGGAUGUCCUCUUUUAGGUCUUUACGCACCGCUUCUUGGGGCUUAUCACUUGAGCUCCCAAAGAUCACUCUCUUAGCUUCAGCAAAACUUCCGUCGUGAUCUCGUUUGCGUUUCCCUAGGAUCUCCAAGGCCUCCAGCUGUUUUUGCAUCUCUUUAGAAUAAGAAGUUACCAUCUUUGAUAACUUUUCAUUUUCUGCCUGCAAUAUUUGAAGCUAGCGUUGAUUCUCCUCUGCUGUUUUUUCCUCUUUUUUUUUUUUUCAAUCUUUUGAUCUCACGCCGAUAUUCAUCAACCAAAUUCUGCUCUGCCACAACUAAGCUCUCAGUACUUGCACCUCAUAAGAUUUUGCAAUGAGGCGAUGCCCCACACUUGUGAUAGUUGUCGCAUUUUGCAAGCACAGUGCCACAACAUUGCUCACUAACCGGUUGUCAUCCCCCGUUCCUAGUAUGCAUACAUCCCUGGGAGUCACCAAACUCUUCGCAACUCCAAUGGCAACCUCGUUGUCAAGGAGUAACGAGUCGCUUUUUGUCACUGGUCCUCGUGAAGAAGCAAAGUAGGGUAUCCAGACUGGUGCAACUCCUUGCCCCUAUGUCUGUGUUGGCGGAGCUAGGUUAAGAUCCAAAGAAGAUGAGAAGGGAUACGACAUUUUCUUUCUGCUUUCUUUUUCUUUCAUUUUCUCUCUUUUCUCUUUCUUCUUUCCUUUCUCUUUUCUUUCUUUCUUUUCUCUCUUCUGCGUGGUUGUAAUUCUUCUUUUUCCUUUGUUUCCUUUAAUAGAUGAACCCUAGCACCAUUGCACCGUCUAAUUUUUCCGCAUUCCUUGAGCUCCACAGCCUUCUCGCUUUCCACCGUCUACAACUUUGUCGCGACUUGUGCAACGUCGUCCCUACUAUCCAUGGCACCCAUAAUUCCGCUUGUAGAUUUGUCGUACCUCUGCGCGUCGACACAUGUCUCCUCUCUCUAGGGGUGGGCAUUGGAUUUGUGGUUCAAAUUGAUUUAGGGUUGAUUAAAAUAAAAUGGCAGCCCUAGAAACAGUGACCAGGUAUCUAUCCCAUAUGACAUAAAACAUUUAAAAACAUCCAUGGGACUAUAUUUAAAAAAUCAACUUGAUAAUGUUUAGUUGGAUUGUAUAAUGUGUUUUGUUUUGUUUUGUUGGAUUAUAAAAUGUUUAAGUUUCUGUUUUUUUGUUUAUUUAUAAAAUCAUCCAUGGGACUUCAUUUUCGGUUCAAGGUUCCAUUUUUUUAAGAAACCAGUCCAAAUCGGACCAUGCCCACCCCUACCUCUCUGUCUCUUUUUUUGCUUUGUUUUCCUUCUCUCUCUCUCUCUCUCUCUCUCUCUCUCUCUCUCUCUCUCUCUCUCUCUCUCUUCCUUAUAUAUUCUCUCCUCUCUCUGUUUUUUUAUUUAAAUUUUUUCAAUUGUGAGUUUUGUAACAUGCAUGUUAUUUUAUUUAUGAACCCAUUACACGACUCCAAACUCACACAAAAAAAGACGACCCGAACCCAAGAAGACAUGUUUAUUAAAUGGGUUAGAUUCGGGUUGAGCAUUCUUGACACGUUUGUUAAUUGGAUUGGGUUAAAUAAAUCAAUGACAGCAUAAAAUGAACACAGGGUUUGUGAAAAAUGUGAUAUUUUCAAUGACUAUAUUAAUAAAUCUUUAUUUUUUGAGUAGUUAGAUUUUUGCACAAAGCUUACCUUCCUCAACUGAUAGCUGCAUUGAUCUUUUGUCUAGCUCAACGGCGUGUCUGCUAAGCUCAGAUGGUGAUAAUUGACGAAGCGCUGGCAACAUGAUGAACGAAGAGCAUUUUCAGUGCUGGCAAAACUAAAGGCAGAAAAAUUGUAUGAAAUUUUUUAAAUUGAAAGAGCAGUGCCAUAAUAAAAUGACCUACUCUGGAUCUAUUCUCUCUGAUCAGAAUCAUCAAAUUGCUUCAAGAGGUUCUUGAAAUGUAGAAACCCUUCUGUCCUUUGCUCAUCAUGGUUCUUCUCAGAACCAACCAAGUGAGGAACCAGAGAUUCAGGAGUGAAUCUAAGUUGCCUGGAAUGAGCAGCUGGCAAUCCAUUGGAACAGGUGGUUUACCAGGUGAAAAAUCUACCGGAGAAGCCAAGGGCAUUGGUGCGAACGCAGAUGUCUCAUGUUCCUGCUUCUUGGUUCUGUCUCUAGGUAGGUCUUGCUGCUUUUGCAAACAAUAUCGUUUGAAAUUGAGAGAGUAAGUAUUUUGUUCUCACACCUUUAACUCUUCGCUUGCCUAAUGCUGAAUCUAACUUCCUCGCACUACCACCAUGCAUGAGCUGAUCACUUGCACUGCUGAUGCUCGUGAAUUGGUGACAAGGGGAGCUCCGUGGCAACUCAGGGUUGAGUAUCUUAGUUCCCAAAACCUUAAUGGGAUGCGCGACUGGUCGUCCUAGAAAAACAUACUUGUUAGGGUUAGAGGUCCAUCGGAGUAGUCAUUAGCUGCUAAUCAACCCGAGAGAGAGAGAGAGAGAGAGAGAGAGAGAGAGAGAGAGAGAGAGAGAGAGAGAGAGAGAGCAAAGAAGAAAUGUGGGGCGUGUUUUUUUUUUCCUAAUCUUAUAAUUAAGCGUGUGUUUUCUAAAUCGGGGCAUGUGAGUUGUAUUAGUCGGGUAAUGAGAGUAUUAAAAACUUUCGUUUAAUAUAAUUCAGUAAUUAAGUAAUACAAGUUGACAUCAAACAAAUGACAUUGACUAUUUACUCAUAUCCAUAGUCUAAUACCAUGUACCAAACAUACCUAUACGAGCUUUUGCCACAUGACUCAUCUAACAUGACAAUCCAAGUCCACAAACACAAGCAUACACACUAAGACAGGACACUCAUAUGCAUGUGAACUACAAGAACGACUGCAUAAUAUCUUGUAUAGAAACAAGACAAUACAACCGGCGCUUAUUACAUUGGAACUACAGUUCACAUUACAUACCAAAUUUAGUAUAACACAGAUAGGAAUUCAAACAUUUGACUUGGCAUAACCCUCAAAUGCUUGGCCUCACAUUGAGACGGGAUAAAAGCUUUUGACCCAGAGACUUAUCUGCCUGCAUUGCCAAUACAAGCACAUAACAUCAGAACAACAUGGCUUAUUCUAAAACUAACCCUUCAUAUUCCAGUAUCACAUCAUCACGUUGCUUAACGGUACAAAUUCACAAAUGCAAUAAUUUAUAAAUAGACUCACCUGAGACCAGUAUGAGAUCCAAAUGCUGCGAAUCUCAUGGGUGACACGAGGGUCUGAUAGGGCAUCCACCCAUCGGCGGAUGAAUCGCUCUUGCCUGCAUGAAGAUGCAAGAUUAAGAACAAUGUUUAAAUACAAUUAUUUUCAUACAGAGACAUCACAGGGUUGCCAGGUACCUGUCUGGCGCCCAAGAUCUGUAUCUCUCUCCAGGUUGCUUAAAGUUGUUCUCCUUCUCAAUGACGCACUGAAUAACCAAAACAAAGUUCCCAUAUGAAUUAUUAUGUGCAGAAAACAAGGAAAAUCCAGAAAUGCAAUCGGUGCAUAUGUAUACACACACACACCUACACUAGUGUAUGUGCCCAGGUGACAGAAAAAGGGACACAGCUGGAAGAAAAGAUGAUGUACAGACGAGACGGGGAAACUAAGGUAUAUUAUUUAAAGCAAUAUUCCUCAAUUGAUAGAAACUGACCUUCUCACGCUUUCCAGAAAGGAUAUUAGAAGGAAUGGGGUAGCGCUCAGCAUGACGAACAGGAUCAUGCCUUGAAGGGAAGUAAUUAACCUGAAAAUAACAGUAUAGCAACUCAUCAGAGAAAACUCAAAUGAAUAAACAUGCAUACAAUUGGAGUUGUCCUCCCAGAAUAUUGAGCAAUCGAAGUAUACAAGGGCCAAAGCGAUUCCAUAUGAGACAUAACAAUUGAGUAAAAUAAUAAUACCUCCUCAUCCCUGUGCAUGAAAUUCAUGAAUCCCUCAUGAUGAUUGUUAUGAUGAGGACACUUGGGAGCAUUCACUGGGAGCUGCAGAUAGUUCGGGCCAAGACGGUGCCUCUGAGUAUCAGAAUAUGCGAAGAUUCGAGUUUGGAGCAUCUUAUCAUCUGAAUAGUAGAUACCAGGGACAACAUGGGCAGGGUUAAACGCAAGUUGUUCAUUCUCUGCAAAGAAGUUAUCGAUGUUUUUAUUCAGAACCAAACGGCCAACUGGCUGCAGGGGAAGGAUAUCUUCAGGCCAGGUCUUAGUUAAGUCAAGAGGGUCAAAGUCAAAUCUGUCCUCGUGAUCAGGAUCCAUUGUCUGAAUAUAAAGUUUCCACUCAGGGUAGUUGCCAGCUGCAAUGGAAUCAUAGAGGUCCUUGGUAGCAUGGCUGUGAUUAGCUCCUCCAACCUUAAUAGCUUCAUCCUCCAACAAACACUUGACUCCACAAGUAGGUUUCCAAUGAAAUUUCACAUAGUGUACUUUCCCUGCCUUACUGAUGAGGGUAUAGGCGUGAACACUAGAGCCUUCCAUGUGCCUGUAAUCUUGUGGAACUCCCAGAUCAUCAUAAAAGAAGGCGAACGUGUGCAGGCUUUCUGGAAGGUGGGAGAAGAAGUCAAGGAUCCUCCAAGUCUCUUGGAUGUGCGACUUGGGGUUCGGUUUGAAAGCACGGAUCGCGUCCGGGAAUUUCAUUGCAUCACGGACAAAAAAGACGGGGAAAUUGUUUCCAACCAGGUCAAAAUUACCCUGCGUUUAAGAAGAACAAAGUCACCACAUGAGUAAUUACUACACAGCAAAAUUAACCCGAAUAAAUUCGUAUAUGGUGAAUAAUGCUACAUGAGCAAUCUAUUACAGCCAGACGACUACCCCCUAUAAUUUAAAGGAAAAUGAAAAGGCAGAGCUAAGAAAGGAAUGAAUGCAAUCUUUCAUUAAAGUCACGAGACUGCAAGAUUUCCAAUAACUAUAAUUAGUCAAAUAUGACUUGAGUACUUCAGAUUUUGUCACCACAGCCACCUCAGCUGCCACUACAGAUACCAAUACAAAUCCAUUAAAUAUGCCUACACUAUUGAGAAAAUAAAUAAAACAUUGAUAAUAUAUAGGUAAAAACCUCACCUCUCUGGUGUAAAACUUCACUGCAAAACCACGAGGAUCCCUCAGGGUUUCAGGGCUGCCACGCUCAUGGAUAACAGUGGAGAAACGCACAAUGACAGGUGUCUGAACACCAGGGGCUCGAAGGAAGUCAGCACAAGUAAGCUGAGAAAUAUCAUGAGUGACCUCAAAGAAUCCCUUUGCACUGGCUCCCCUAGCAUGGACAACACGCUCUGGGAUUCGUUCUCUAUCAAAGGUGGCAAGUUUCUCCACCAGAUGAUAGUCCUCAAGGAGAACUGGACCUGAAAAAUAGAAACAGAAAUUUAAUUCGGAACUGCACCGACUCAACUCAUCAUAUUUAAUCAUCUAGAUUACAUGCAAAAAUAGCAUAAAAAUGAAAUUAAUUGUUAUGCGUUCCAGAACAUAAAAUAAAGAUGACUGUUGCUCGGUUGCAAAUAUUUGUAAUUUUUAUUUACAUUUAGAAGGUAGGGUUUCAGCCAACCAGAUUAUCUUGACAACCCAAAAGGAGGCUGGAGGAAUUAAACGAGAACCAACAGAGCGGGACAAUCAUUUUUCAACUAAAGUAAGUAGAAAUUUUAAAAUAAAGGGUUUACUACUGAAAUACCCCUUGAAAUUGUAGCUCACUUUCAAUUAGCCCUCUAUUCUUUUUUUUUUAGAAAAUUAAGGAUAAGAAUUUUUUUUUUCGGCCAAUUUCCCCCUGCCGUCUAAAUCCUCAACAUUUCUUCUAAUUUUCUGUUAAAUAUGAGGGCAUAUUGGUCAUUUCAAACAUUAAAAAUAAUAAAUAUAGAAUUAAAAAUUAAAAAUUGAAAUAAUAAUGAUAUAUUCACCCUAUGUUUGACAGCCACCAACAUCACACCCUCUCUUCGAUCUCUUUCCCCCUCCUCUUCAACAUCCACCAACAUCACCAUCCUCCACCCUCUGUCUCUUCUCCCCCCAUAUGCCCAUCCCCUCCUCCUUCUCCCUCCCACUCUCUUUUUGCGUCUCUCUCUCCCGAUGCCAAGGUUACAGAGAGGAAAACAAAAUUUAAUAAUAAACAUAUUGAGAUGUUUUGGGUGCCUGUUUAGGAUUUUGAUCUUGAAUUUUUUUUCUUUGGUGGCUGUUUGGCUGUUUGGGUUUCCUGGGGAGUAAGGUGAGGUUAAUAAUAAAGAUCUUCAAAUUUUUUGUGUGGCUAUUUAGGGUUUUGAUCUUGAAUAUAAAUUUUUUUUUGGGUGGUGUUUGAGUUUUUUGGGAGGUGAGGUUAUGGAUGUCGAAGAAAGAGGGAGACAUAAGGAGGAGGGGGAGGGUGAAAGGUGGGGGAAGAGAGAAGAGAGGGUGGGAGACACACUUUGUAGAUAACGAAAGGACGAAAAACAAAAAAGAAGAUCAAAACCCUAAAGCGUAAGGGAAUAGGGCGACAAAGUGAGAGAGAAGGAGGCAGGAGGAGGUGAGUCGGGGUGGGGCUGGUUGACCUCGGGAGAAGCAUCGGGCAGAGGAGGAGGGGGAGAAGAAAACCAGAGGGGAGGGGGAAGAAAAAAAACUGAUGAGAUAAGGUUUUAUUUUGUGUUAUCUUUUUCUUCUUUUUUCAAUUUUUUUUAAUGAUUUAAUAAAAAAUUGGAUAAAAUGUUGAGAUGUAGACCGCAGGGGAAAAUUAGCCAAAAAAAGAAAUUCAUAUCCUUAAUUUUCUAUAUAUAUAUAAAUAAAUAAAUAACAGAUAAGGGGUUAAUCGAAAAGGAUCAGCUUCAAAUACAAGAUAUAUAAGUAUAUAUAUACAUAUCUUAAAUCCCACAAGCGUUUCCAAAGAUUAAUCAUCCUCAACCUGGUAGUGGGCGGGAAUAACAUCCAAAAAGCAGUUUACAUCUCAUAAUCACAUGAAUAUCAAAAUCUUGUUCAAAAAAGUUGAGAAAACCAUCACAAAAAUUCAAAACCCAGGUAAGCGAAGAACCUAUGAUAACAAAGAUAAAUAUAUGCACACAAAUAGUGAACAGCAUCAUAAGAUAGAUAGAUGAUGAAGCGCAACUAAAAAUAAAAAAUAAAAAAACUGGGUUGCAAUUGAAAGCCCAGGAUCAAUCAACGAAGAGUUGUGAUGAAUUACCUCUAGGUCCAACAGUCAAAGAAGAGUCGUUGUUCCAAACUGGAGCACCGGCGUUUGUGGUCCAGUAUGGGGAAUCAAAAGCACUUGAAGGGCGGUGCUGCAACAUACACAACGAAAAUGAAACAAGACCAUGAUGAGCUAAAAGAACAACAAACACAAAAUUUCGAGCACGCUUAAAUAUGACCAAUCUGAUUGAUCAAGAAGAUUAAUUCACCAAGAAAUCAAACUUAAACAAAUCAAGAAAUAUUGAGAUUAGGACAGGGAAAUGAGUACCUUGUAAGGAUCCAUGGAGAGAGAGAUGGGGAGAAGAAGAAGGGAGUUUGAUAAGAAGGUGAGAGAGCAGAGAUAAGCCACUCAAAAGGAGGGUCCUGUGGCAAAUGAGAAUUGAAGAGUGACAUGUGAAAUAGGGGAAUUUAUAAACACUUGGGGGUCGUGGAAGGUCCCUCGCGCUUAUGUGCAAAUUACCAAUCUCAGCUGGUUAUCUUUAUCCAAACACAGUGGAAGGUCAACAGAAGAGAAAACAUAUCUUUGCCAAUUUAGCGUCGCGAGUCAGAACGAUUCCCGCCAAACCUUUCAAUUGAAAAGUAAAAAUGAGUAAAAAGGAGUAGAAACACCAUAAUUGACUGUGUAAUUAUAAAAUAUAUGGAAUCGUCUUUUUAUUUUUCAAAUUUUGUGAACAUAUUAUCGCUAAAUAAUUAACACAAAAAUUGAUUUAAAUAUAAUGUUGUUUUAUCUAAUGAGUAUUUCAAACUUGUAAUUAAUGCUAACUAUUUUUUAUAUUAUUUUUUUAAUAUAAAUGGACCAAUUUAAAAAAAAAAAAAAAAAAAGCUACAGCAUUUAUGACUCUAAAUUUGAGAGUAUGGUUGGAGCUGAAAUUUUUUAAAGAGCUCCUAAAAUAGCUUUUUUGUAUUCUUACCUAAAUUUUAGCUAAAAAAUAGAGAACAUCAUUAUGGAUGCUCUAACUAUAGAGAUUUGAUUGAAACAAUUAAAAACAUUUCACGGCGAACAACAAUGGCAGGGCAAAAUGCAAAUUAUUAAUUUGACUAUUGUUCUUUGUUUGUACCAUAUAUGACUCUCCGCUCACAUCAUGACACGUGGAAAGCAAACGAGGUUAAGACCAACCCUGUGAAGCAGGGCCGAAUAGGCCAAUUCGACAUGAAUCGGCAUACACCACCGAUUCAUACAUGUUCUUCAAUUGGUAAGUGCUCUGGACUGCCCCCUUAAACAAACCUUCAGUACCUGAUGUCGAAUGACCUCAAGGGCGCCAUCAGCACGACUGGCCGAUCAUACAAGACAACCUCGAAGCUCUCGCUAAAGCAUGUUGGGAUGCGUGUCAACCAUUAAAGACACUCUCACAAGUCCUACAUCGAAACUAAGUGCUAAGUGAUCACCCAACACCCUGAAUAAAUAAGGCCUCUGGCCCCAGCCACAGGGUAAAACUUUCUACUUGAACUGUGCUCCCACAUUCAGUACUUAGCUCUUAGUCACUAACUUUGGCAUCAGAGGGUCUUCGCCCGAGACCAUACCGGUGCUCAAGACCUCACCUGCCGUUUCUCUCUUCAGCUUGAUUCCAGCAUCAUGAUCCAAGGAAGGACGCCACGGUCCGAAGGCCCCUCCUGUCCAAACCAUCCAUAUAACUUGUAAGUUAGCCCUAUAACUAUUUGUUUAGUUUUAACGCUAACAUUCUUAAUUGAAUUAUUAAUUUUUUGUUAAUCUUUUAUUUUACUUAAGAAAAAAAAAAUUCAUUUGUAUAUCUCACAUUAUCAUUGAACUGGAUUCAAGACAAUCAAUUUAACAACAAAUUCCGAAUCUCCAUAUUUAGGAUCUGUGCAUUUAACCACAUUUUGUGAAAUUCCGCUCAAAUAAUCUAACCAUUUAAUAUAGGACACAUCAUCAAUCUUUAACCUAAGAUUUUUUUGUUAACUUUAAAGGUAACAUGCUUGAGGGAGAUACUUUUUUCAUCAUGCUUCCUCCUUGAAAAAACUGUAAAUAAAAUUAAUUUAUUGCUAUUUACCUCCAGUUUAUAGAUCGAACCCUAAGCACAAAGUGAACUUCAGAACUUUGAUUUUCUAGUCACAAAAAUCGAGCAAAUUAUGUAAUUAAGAAAUAACAUAUAUUACGAUGAAUUAAAAAAACCCCUCAAGCACGUUUACUUUAAUGUUAACAUCAAUUUUUGAAAAGAAAAAAAAAAGGACUUUAACUUAAAGAUUAAUUAAUGAUGUGUCAUAUAAGUAGUUAGAUAUUUAGUUUAAAUUUUACGAAAUGCAAAUAAAUGCACAGAUUCUAAAUAUAAAAAUUCGAUAUUCAUAUGCCAUAAAUAUCACUUUAUGAUUGAAAAUCCAGAAUAUUAAACUAAAAUUAUAUUUCUUCACAAAAAUUGCAUCUAAACAUGAGGAUAAAAUGAUGUUCAUCCAUACAUUGAACAAGCACAAUAUAUCGUGAAGAUAUUUGAUAUAUUGAAAACCUCGCCCAUAUAAUACAUUCAUGUAGGAAGGCUGAAUGAUGGGACCAACAAAGAAUUAUGUCAUAAAUUUUUAGGGUCAUAUUAGGGAGAUUAACUUUAGAUAAUAACUUGUGUGUCAUCUCUCUAAUAGAGGUAGAACCCACCAAUAAAAUGGAUCUCACAAUUUAUUAGAGAGAUGAUAUACAAGUUGGUAUCUAAAGCUGGUCUCCCUAACAUUUUUCUUAUUUUUAUUGACAAAAACUUCAACGACAAAAAAAAAAAAAAAAAACAAGAAAAAGGCCUAGAAAAUUAUUAUUAUUGUUAUAAAAUAAUUGGAAUAUGUGCGAGAAUGUUAAUCUGCACGUAAAGUAAAUGAGACACAAUAUUUAACGAGGUUCAGCCUUGCUUAGUACUCGGAAAACAACAACAGUAACUUUUCCACUAUGUAAAAUAAUAAAGCUAUAACUUUAAUGUUUAUAAUAUAUGUGACCCGCUAAUCUUUCUCUCUUAAAAAUUUCUCCCUGCUCUCUUUUCUCUCCAUCACUUACCCGCUUUCUUUCCUCCUCUUCUUUAUUUUCUUCCUUUCCUAUCAGCAUGGGCUCUCUUCUUCUCAGAUGAUUGGUUGUCUCACCCAUUUGCACAAGAGGGUAGCCUUGGCAAGCAAGAAUGACACCAAGUGUGCAAUAAACUAAUGCACCAAAGUCCCCACACAAAUAGUAAGUGGGCUUCACAUCACAUGGGUACUCUUUACAGCAAUUAUCAUAAUCGUGGUGGGAAUUCCACGAUUGAAAAUAAUUGAGCACGUGAUGCAUUCAUCAUGCCUUAUCCAGAUCUUGGAGCUUUGCUAACGCUUAGGCGCAAUCACUUAUGGCAGUGGAUAUGCUUGAAGUUUAUAAAAACAGACAAAAUAAAUAAAUAAAAAACUGGAAGAGGCUAUUUUUCGGUGUCGUUUGUGUGAAAGCUGCCGAAAACAGGAAAUAUGCUGAUAAGGUUAGAAGGGGCCCGAGCUCAGAUUAGGCACAAAGAGUGCCACUCUCUGGGCCCACUUCAAAUUUGGAUACAUAAAAAACGAAGAAGAAAAAUCAACGAACUCUGGGCUCGCUCAAUGUCUUUUUCUACAGGAUUUCUUCUUUGUUACUUGUCAAUACUGAUAUUGUAAAGUAAAGAAUGUGGAGCCCACAAAUAAUAGAACCUAAUUGAUUGAAGAUGAAUAAUGGUAAAGCUUGUCUGCCAACACUCACGUGAAGUCAAAAAAAUAUGAGUAAGCAGCCACAGAAUUCUGACUACAAGCAAGGCUUUCCCCCUUUCUUCAACAAACAUACCAUCUGAGAAGAAAUGAGAGUCCAUAUAAAGAAUAAAGAAAGGAAGGAAAGAAAGAGGGUGAAUGAGUAGAGAGAAAAUGAGAGCAGAGAGAUAUUUUUUAAGAGAGAAGUCACAUAUAUUAUAAAUAUUAAAAUUAUAGUCUUAUUUUUUAUAUAUUGAAAAAGUUAUUGCUGUUGUUCUUUGAGGACGUAGACAAGGGAACUAUGAGAUCAAGGAAGCUUCGAGUUAUACUCAUAUGACCAUACUUCUUGUUCUUCAUGCAUAAAACAUAUUCAAGUUCCAUGUUCAAGACUUGACAUCUAAUCAUUAUAGUGAUCAUCUAAAAAAAAAAAAAAAUUUAAAAAAAAAAACGUAACUAGGCCUUGAUGCAAUAAGAACUUUAGCAUUAGCUUCAUGUAUGUAGGAAAAGUAGCAAAUAAUUUCAAUUGUAAAUUUUAAUGUGGAAGCGUAGAAACGAGUACAAACAUUUGGAAGUAAACACGUUACCAUAAUAAUGUUGGUGUAACAACAAUUAGAAGGGUUGCAAUUAUAUAAUAAAUAUUUAUUCUUUGAGUACGUUACCAACAUCUGUUAUAAUGGAUAAAAAUGGUUGCAUAGGCCAGUUGAUGAGGACAGUAUGUACCCUCGUUACUCAAGUUUGAAUCUUCCUCUAGUUUUAUUACUUGUACAAAUAAAUAAAUAAACAAAAUGGUUUGUCUAAAAUAACUGGUCUCACCAAAAUUAAAGCAAUUACAUUACAACAUCUUCUGCCGUGGAAAAAACACACAAAACAUAAAAGAAAAAUAAAAAGAGAGAGAUAACAAAUUAUACUGGUAAGAGUAGACUACCUCCUGUUGCUCUUGUUGGAGGGGAAAAAGCAGUGAGGGGCAUAUUACAGUAGAAGAGUCAGCAUCAACUUCACAGCUAACAAUUCCCAAGCUUUAAAGUAAGCUCAAGGUAUUUGGGAGAGUUCAUUCUGCUGGCCAUCACCAAAACCAGAGUAUUUUGAAUCUUUAAUCGCUUUCCACUUGUUGCACUGAACACGCUCAAAUUGCCUAUAAAAAAUUGCUUGUCAUUGAAGACUUCCCCAAUAUAUUUAGAGCCAUCAUCCUUUGGAUCUCUUUUGCUGCAUGAUGCAUUGAUCACUAGAGUUAAAUAAAUCAAUGACAGAGCCAUAAAAUGAACACAGGGUUUGUGAAAAAGGUGAUAUUUUCAAUGACUAUAUUAAUAAAUAUUUAUUCUUUGAGUAGUUAGAUUUUUGCAUAAAGCUUACCUUCCUCAACUGAUAGCUGCAUUGAUCUUUUCUCUAGCUCAACGGCAUGUCUGCUAAGCUCAGAUGGCGAUAAAUAACGAAGCGCUGAUAACAUUAUGAACAAAGAGCAUUUUCAGUGCUGGCAAAAUUAAAGGCAGAAAAGUAGGUACGAAAUUUUUAAAAUUGAAACAGCAAUGCCAUAAUACAAUGACCUACUCUGGAUGUAUUCUCUCUGAUCAGAAUCAUCAAAUUGCUUCAAGAGGUUCUGCAAAUGUAGAAACCCUUCUGUCCUUUGCUCAUCAUGGUUCUUCUCAGAACCAACCAAGUGAGGAACCAUAGAUUCAGGAGUGAAUCUAAGGUGCCUGGAAUGAGCAGCUGGCAAACCAUUACUGGGCUUUCCAAGAAAAAUUGGAACUGGUGGUUUACCAGGUGAAAAUUUAACCGGAGAAGCCGAAGGCAUUGGUGCAAAUGCAGAUAUCUCAUGUUCCUGAUUCUUGGUUCUGUCUCUAGGUAGGUCUUGCUGCUUUUGCGAACAAUAUCGUUUGAAAUUGAGAGAGUAAGUAUUUUGUUCUGUCACACCUUGAACUCUUCGCUUGCCUAGUGCUGACUCUAACUUCCUCCCACCACCGCCAUGCAUGAGCUGAUCACUUGCACUGCUGAUGCUCGUGAAUUGGUGACAAGGUGGGCUCCGUGGCAACUCAGGGUUGAGUAUCUUAGUUCCCAGAACCUUAAUGGGAUCCGCGACUGGUCGUCCUAGAAAACAAUUCUCAGGAUAAUUUGGCAUAAAGUUCCUAUUAUCAUUCUGUACAUCUCUCAAUGCUAUCUUUUUCAUCGGUAAUGUUGAUUGCUUAUGGCACACAGAUGAACCAACCACACUGUUUCCCAGUGCAUUGUUGUUGAGGUUAGAGCUCACCAUUUGAGGGAUCAGAACAACUAACUUGGCUAAGAGGAUCCUAAGGUCCUGGCUGCAGAGGCAUUAGCAGAAAAAGAAAGAUAAAAUCAAUAAAGAUAUCCUUGAGUGAAAACAACAGCCCCAAUAUAACUAUCAUGCUAAAACACAUUGAGCUUAAACGAAUAGCAGAUAUAACAAACAUUUUCUUCCUGCUGCGCUACUUGAAUGAAAAGUAUCACACAAAAUAAACAAAAAUUUAACUCCUCCUGCUACACAACUUGAGGUGAUUUCACUAUCUAUGUCGAAAAUGUAGUCAUUUUAACAUGGAGUCACCAUAAAUGGCAUGUUAUUAUAGGGAGAUAAAGUUCAAUUAUUCAAGAAAAUAAGAGCACUUUGCCAGUUUCUGAAAAUGCCCUCCAUCCUGAAAGCAAUCUCAAAUUUAAAAGACCCACCUAGAGAGUGUUUAAAGCUGGUCUCUUUAUCAAAUCACCUAGUGGGGAAAUAUUUCAACCAUCCAAUCUCAACAUUUGGUAACAAGAAAAACAAAUUUGACGAGCCCGUGAGUCCAAUUUCAGCAACAUAUAAACAUCGCCCGCCUUUUUCAAAACCCAUUUGCAAAAAAAAAAAAUUAGAAAAAGAAGAAACUUAAUCAACUCUGCUCUAAACUGAGAGUAUCAGUACAAAUCUAUGGUGGGUACUCAUCAACUGUUUUGCAGACAAAAGUUGCAGUCUAAAUGGAGCUGCUACUAUUCAUAAACCCUAUGAGGAAGAACUUCAAGAGCCAAAGGAAAUUAAAUUGAACAAGAUUCGAUUAUAUAAUAAAUAUUGGUGCGUGCGUGUAAGAGAGAGAGAGAGAGAUAGAGAGGGUGCGAUGCUCAAAUUUGUAAUAGAUAAACAGCAGAGAUUCAUAGAGUGGAGAAAGAAUUACCGUUUGGAGUUGGAGUUGGAGUUGGAGUUGGGGGGAUCUGCAAGUGUUUGGAAUGGAUCUGAGGGUGAGGGAGGGAGACUGUUCAAAAAAGGAAAUUUGGCUCCAAAGGAGGCGGAGAGGUUUAAACUGGGUUUAAAAUAUAGGCGGGACCCACGCUACGUAGAUUGGGCCCAUCGGCCUAUGCAGGAAGGUACGUUUUUUGAUCCAAUAACUUCCAUUCCAUGUUGUGCGUUUACUGAAUUUUUUGUAUUUUCACAAAAACUCGUGAAGUUUUUAAAAUUGCAUUAAAUUAACCUCCUCUUUGUUUUCAAUUUAUUUACAUUGAUACUCAUCGAAAUUUUUUUUCUUCAUAUUUUCACAAAACUUAUGAGGUUUUUAAUGGAAUGAAUUUUGUAAAAAUAAUUUGAAAUUUCAAAGAAUAUUAGUGUAAUUUUUGAAAUCUCGGGAGUUUAGUGGGAGACUUU